UGGGGGGAUAUUGCACAAUGGGGGGAACCCUGAUGCAGCGACGCCGCGUGAGCGAAGAAGUGCUUCGGCAUGUAAAGCUCUAUCAGCAGGGAAGAAAAUGACGGUACCUGACUAAGAAGCCCCGGCUAACUACGUGCCAGCAGCCGCGGUAAUACGUAGGGGGCAAGCGUUAUCCGGAUUUACUGGGUGUAAAGGGAGCGUAGACGGCAUGGCAAGUCCGAUGUGAAACCCGCGGCUCAACUGCGGGAUGGCAUUGGAAACUGUCAGGCUUGAGUACUGGAGGGGCAGGCGGAAUUCCUGGUGUAGCGGUGGAAUGCGUAGAUAUCAGGAGGAACACCGGUGGCGAAGACGGCCUGCUGGACAGUAACUGACGUUGAGGCUCGAAAGCGUGGGUAGCAAACAGGAUUAGAUACCC
rnacentral:rRNA from 1 species